ACGCCUCUUCGUUGCUGGGAGGGGAGACAGAAGACAAGAAAGUGAAACCAGACCUACUCCUUUCCUGCCGCAGGACUGGAAGAGCAAACACAAACUGGUGUGCGCCGAGGUAAACAAACUCGGUGGCACCGCCCUCUCCUCCGACAGCUAGGAAGGAGGUGCUGAGACACUCAGGGAUGGGGGCUAGGAUUGCUGCAGGAUGCGCAAGGGAAGGAUUAAAUUGGAUCGCCUGAGGCUUCAAGUUUGCAGACUGCGCAGUGCCUGGGAAUCAACUGAGCAUAAAAUACGUUUAGUAGGAGAAAACAUUUUAAAGCCAUGGGGUGUGUUUAGAGCAGCCUUGUGUAGAGUUAGGAACAAGAGUUUUCUCACCUACUUUUGAGAACCUGGUCUGAUAGCUCCCAGGUAAAACUUGCAUAUAGUUCUAAAGGUAUAUGUUCAUGUAUAGUUUUUUAUCAUUCUCUUUAAAGAUGAAAGUUUCUUUGUGAACAAAAAUGCCAUUGUUGUAGACAAUAUCCAAGUUCGUGUGGUGGCUAAGUCUAUAAAUUUAAAGAGAGCAGCCUGGAGCUAAAAGUUAUGUUAGCAGAUUCAGUUCAUGCUAAGACAAAGAAAGGCUGGAGCACACAAUUACAGAUAAAAUCCUUAGUUACAUAGAACCUUCACCUACAUCAUUGCAUUUAAUGUGGUAAAUGAAGCUGCUGUUCUGUUUUGCAUUUAAUUUUUGUCAGUUAAUGAGUCUUAGCUGAGCUCUCCAUAACCUGGUUCCCAGGGUCAAUAAUUAAACUUGGUUUAUUCUUCCAUGUUCCAAAGUUACAUGUUUUAAAGAAAUGAAUGACACCCCGUUUCUUUUUUCUUCUUUUAACACACCUUUUUGGUUUUUACCAUUCACUGGGAUGCUUUUAAAAGAAACUAACUCCAGAAUGCUUCAUUUCUUGAAUAUCUGG